AGUGAACGCUGGCGGCGUGCUUAACACAUGCAAGUCGAAGAUAGUGGCGAACGGGUGAGUAAUACGUGGGUAAGCUGCCCUCCUUCUUGGGAUAAGCCUUGGAAACGGGGUCUAAUACCGAAUACCGGGGGAUGGGAUCGCGGCCUAUCAGCCUGUUGGUGGGGUGAUGGCCGACCAAGGCGGUGACGGGUAGCCGGCCUGAGAGGUUGACCGGCCACAUUGGGACUGGGCUUCGGCCCAGACUCCUACUGGAGGCAGCGGUGGGGGAUAUUGCACAAUGGGUGAAAGUCUGAUGCAGCGACGCCGCGUGGGGGAUGAAGGCUUUGGGGUUGGAAACCUCUUUCGCAAUCGAACGGGUGUGUGGAGAAGAAGCGCCGGCUAACUACGUGUCAGCAGCCGCGGUAAUUC
rnacentral:rRNA from 1 species